UACGUAGGGGGCAAGCGUUGUCCGGAUUUAUUGGGCGUAAAGAGCGUGUAGGCGGCCAAAUAGGUCGGUUGUGAAAACUGGAGGCUUAACCUCCAGACGUCGACCGAAACCAUUCGGCUAGAGUCCGGAAGAGGAGAGUGGAAUUCCUGGUGUAGCGGUGAAAUGCGCAGAUAUCAGGAAGAACACCCGUGGCGAAGGCGGCUCUCUGGGACGGUACUGACGCUGAGACGCGAAAGCGUGGGGAGCGAACAGG
rnacentral:rRNA from 1 species